rnacentral:rRNA from 1 species
UACGUAGGGUGCGAGCGUUAAUCGGAAUUACUGGGCGUAAAGCGUGCGCAGGCGGCGACAUAAGACAGAUGUGAAAUCCCCGGGCUCAACCUGGGAACUGCGUUUGUGACUGUGUUGCUAGAGUGUAGCAGAGGGGGGUGGAAUUCCACGUGUAGCAGUGAAAUGCGUAGAGAUUUGGAGGAAUACCAGUGGCGAAGGCGGCCCCCUGGCACAACACUGACGCUCAGGUGCGAAAGCGUGGGGAGCAAACAGGAUUAGAUACCCCGGUAGU